AGAAUCAACGCUGGCGGCGUGCCUAACACAUGCAAGUCGAUCGAGAAAGUGGAGCAAUCCAUGAGUAAAGAGGCGCACGGGUGAGUAACACGUGACUAACCUACCCUCGAGUGGGGAAUAAACCUGGGGAAACCCGGGCUAAUACCGCAUAACUACCCACGGGUCAAAGGAGCAAUUCGCUUGAGGAGGGGUCGCGGCAGAUUAGUUAGUUGGCGGGUAAUGGCCCACCAAGACGAUGAUCUGUA
rnacentral:rRNA from 1 species